UAUAGUUUUUCGGAACUAGAGACCGGCGCACGGGUGCGUAACGCGUAUGCAAUCUACCUUUUACAGGGGGAUAGCCCAGAGAAAUUUGGAUUAAUACCCCAUAGUAUUAUUGAGUGGCAUCAUUUAGUAAUUAAAGUUCCAACGGUAAAAGAUGAGCAUGCGUCCCAUUAGCUAGAUGGUAAGGUAACGGCUUACCAUGGCAACGAUGGGUAGGGGUCCUGAGAGGGAGAUCCCCCACACUGGUACUGAGACACGGACCAGACUCCUACGGGAGGCAGCAGUGAGGAAUAUUGGUCAAUGGGCGCAAGCCUGAACCAGCCAUGCCGCGUGCAGGAUGACGGUCCUAUGGAUUGUAAACUGCUUUUGUACGAGAAGAAACACUCCUACGUGUAGGAGCUUGACGGUAUCGUAAGAAUAAGGAUCGGCUAACUCCGUGCCAGCAGCCGCGGUAAUACGGAGGAUCCAAGCGUUGUCCGGAAUCAUUGGGUUUAAAGGGUCCGUAGGCGGUUUGGUAAGUCAGUGGUGAAAGCCCAUCGCUCAACGGUGGAACGGCCAUUGAUACUGCCAGACUUGAAUUAUUGGGAAGUAACUAGAAUAUGUAGUGUAGCGGUGAAAUGCUUAGAGAUUACAUGGAAUACCAAUUGCGAAGGCAGGUUACUACCAAUUGAUUGACGCUGAUGGACGAAAGCGUGGGGAGCGAACAGGAUUAGAUACCCUGGUAGUCCACGCCGUAAACGAUGGAUACUAGCUGUUGGGAGCAAUUUCAGUGGCUAAGCGAAAGUGAUAAGUAUCCCACCUGGGGAGUACGGGCGCAAGCCUGAAACUC
rnacentral:rRNA from 1 species